AAUUUGUCCUAUUCUCAUUUAUAUUUUACUUAAUUAUUUUGGAAAAAAAGAUUCGGAAGAAUCAGGUUCGAGAAAAGGAAUACUUUUGCUGUGUCUGACACACACACAACAGAAAGAAAGAAAGAUCCAGUAUUCAGUGUGCGCGUCCAACGAAGCCGAUUGGUCUGCUUAGCAAUGGUGGUUGCUCCCUCCAUUCGGCUUUUCCCACCUUCCUUCUCCUCCAUUCCCUUUCCUCAUCGCUCUCCCUUUUCUUCCCGUUGGCGCUCUCCUUCUUCCGUCUCUCUUCUCCUUCCCAUUCACUCUCGCCUCCAAUCCACUUCCGCAAAUGGAGAUAUUGGGGUUGAAUUACCUGGUGAUCAGGCAGAGAUUAUAUUCAUGGGGACUGGAACCAGUGAAGGGAUACCUAGAGUUAGCUGCUUGACUAAUCCUCUGAAAAAAUGUCCGGUAUGUUCAAAGGCUGCUCAGCCGGGCAAUAAGAAUAGGAGACUUAACACGAGCAUCCUUGUUCGUCACCCGGGCUCCUCAGGAACUCACAACAUUCUUAUAGAUGCUGGAAAAUUUUUCUAUCACAGUGCUCUGCAAUGGUUUCCUGCAUUUGGGAUAAGAACACUUGAUGCAGUAAUUAUCACUCAUUCACAUGCAGAUGCCAUUGGAGGUCUUGAUGAUCUUAGAGAUUGGACAAACAAUGUUCAGCCACACAUUCCAAUAUACGUGGCCAAGCGUGAUUUUGAGCUUGCUUUCAACCUUAGGUUGUUGACUAUUCAAGUAUAUAUAUCUAGUCUUAAUGCUUUCUCUGGAUUUCUUGUGGAAGUUAUGCAACUAAUUAUAUUGAAGGUGAUGAAGAAUACCCAUUAUUAUUUAGUAGAUACUAGUGUCAUCACAACUGGUGCUGCUGUCUCAGACUUGCAAUUCAAUAUUAUAUCUGAAGAACCAUUUUCUGUACAUGGACUGAAGGUCAAUCUUACUAAAAUUUAUUACUCCAUUACCAGUGUGGCAUGGCAAAGGUUACCGAUCCCUUGGAUUUCGUUUCGGUAAUAUUUGUUACAUAAGUGAUGUCAGUGAUAUUCCAGAAGAAACUUAUCCACUUUUGAAGGAUUGUGAAAUUCUAAUAUUGGACGCUCUACGGCCUGAUCGCUCCUCUGCCACACAUUUUGGACUUCCAAGGGCGCUAGAUGAAGUCCGAAAAAUUCAACCCAAAAGGACACUCUUUACAGGUAUGAUGCAUCUGAUGGAUCAUGAAGAAGUGAAUGACUAUCUUACAAAAUUAUUGGAAUCUGAGGGCCUUGAUGUACAAUUGAGCUAUGAUGGGCUUCGUAUUCCAAUCACAGUUUAGCUUGCAACCAUAUUCUCAUUCAUAUAGAAAAAGAUCAAUGUUGAGAUGAAGAUCAGUACAAUUUUUUUGACAAUAUGAAUAAAUCAACCCUGCAGACUCUUGCAGCUAUUUAACUUUUUUUCCCCUCUUUUCUGUUUUAUUUCCUCUCACUUUUUGAAUCUGUGUGCAAGUGUGUGUCAAACAACAUUAAGGAUGAUGGCACACAUAAAAAUAAGUGGGAAAUGUUAGGAAAUUAAUACUUUUGGUAGAAAAAAAAUAUGAGUUAGUUAU